rnacentral:rRNA from 1 species
UACGUAGGGGGCAAGCGUUGUCCGGAAUCAUUGGGCGUAAAGCGCGUGUAGGCGGUCCGAUAAGUCGGUUGUGAAAGUCCAGGGCUCAACCCUGGGAUGCCGACCGAUACUGUCGGACUAGAGUUCGGAAGAGGCGAGUGGAAUUCCCGGUGUAGCGGUGAAAUGCGCAGAUAUCGGGAGGAACACCAAUGGCGAAGGCAGCUCGCUGGGACGUUACUGACGCUGAGACGCGAAAGCGUGGGGAGCAAACAGG